rnacentral:rRNA from 1 species
UGGGGAAUAUUGGACAAUGGGCGCAAGCCUGAUCCAGCUAUGCCGCGUGUGUGAAGAAGGCCUUUUGGUUGUAAAGCACUUUAAGCGAGGAGGAGGCUACCCUGACCAAUACUCAGGAGUAGUGGACGUUACUCGCAGAAUAAGCACCGGCUAACUCUGUGCCAGCAGCCGCGGUAAAACGUAGGAAGCGAGCGUUAUCCGGAUUUACUGGGCGUAAAGCGUGUGCAGGCGGUUUGAUAAGUUGGAUGUGAAAGCUCUUGGCUUAACUGGGAGAGGUCGUUCAAAACUAUCAGACUAGAGAGUGGUAGAGGGAGGUGGAAUUCCGGGUGUAGUGGUGAAAUGCGUAGAUAUCCGGAGGAACACCAGUGGCGAAAGCGGCCUCCUGGCCCAUUUCUGACGCUCAGACACGAAAGCUAAGGUAGCAAACG